UCUAAUGAGACUGCCGGUGACAAACCGGAGGAAGGUGGGGAUGACGUCAAGUCCUCAUGGCCCUUAUAGGUGGGGCUACACACGUCAUACAAUGGCUGGUACAAAGGGUUGCCAACCCGCGAGGGGGAGCUAAUCCCAUAAAACCAGUCGUAGUCCGGAUCGCAGUCUGCAACUCGACUGCGUGAAGUCGGAAUCGCUAGUAAUCGUGGAUCAGAAUGUCACGGUGAAUACGUUCCCGGGUCUUGUACACACCGCCCGUCACACCAUGGGAGCGGGUUCUGCCAGAAGUAGUUAGCUUAACCGCAAGGAGGGCGAUUACCACGGCAGGGUUCGUGACUGGGGUG
rnacentral:rRNA from 1 species